AACGUAGGUGGCGAGCGUUAUCCGGAUUUACUGGGCGUAAAGGGUGUGCAGGCGGGCUGUUAAGUGGUGCAUGAAAUCUCCGCGCUUAACGUGGAGAGGCUGUGCCAGACUGGCAGUCUAGAGUACGAGAGAGGGUUGUGGAAGUUCCGGGUGUAGUGGUGAAAUGCGUAGAGAUCCGGAGGAACACCAGAGGCGAAGGCGGCAACCUGGCUCGUUACUGACGCUCAUACACGACAG
rnacentral:rRNA from 1 species